AAUUCUUUGGUUUUUUAUUUAAGCUGUUAAAAACUGUUCGGAAAUGCCGACUGUAAUGUAAAGGGAAAUGCCUACUGAAUGUGAAAGGAAAAGAGGUGGAAAUGAACAGACCUGCCAUACAGCAAAUCACAUCGUCUAGAAAAACGUGAAGAACAAUACCCUGGGUAGUGCUUGCAGCUUGACUACUGAAAGAAGGCAACUUUUGAAAAUAUUACUUAGUGCCUUUGGUGUCAAGAGGUGGAGGCCGAUACACUUUGUGGUGAUAGAAAUGAUAGAAAUCAUCAGACAGCUGAGGAGUAAGAAAUCCCAUCUGUGUUUUUGAUAACAUUCUGGAACAAGUUCAGUGGUGAUCUUAAGAUCCAUAUGGAUCUUAUUAUAGUCCUACUUGCUAUGGGACUCUCUGGGAAUUGAGGUGAGUUGUAAAAGAUCAUUAGCUAAACUCAAUGUAAUUAAUUAAAAUUUCAGAUUACUAGUAAUCUG
rnacentral:lncRNA from 1 species